UGCUUUGCGCAGUGGCAGUAUCAUAGCCAAUGAGGCCCACCCGAGGCAUGAUUAUUGUUAGUUGAAAACUUUCCUUCUAUUUCUACUCUAGAAGUCAGUGAAACAUUUCUUGAAGGAAGCUGCUGUUG
rfam:Alligator sinensis unplaced genomic scaffold scaffold647_2, whole genome shotgun sequence